rnacentral:misc_RNA from 1 species
UCCUGACACUCUAAUUCUUAUGUAAUGUUACAGAGAGAGAUGAGUGUGGCUCAGAGUGAGGCUCGGAGCGUGAGCUCCCAACCUGUAGAUCCUGAACAGAAUCAACUAGAAGCUCUUCUCUUUAAGGCGACCAACCCCAGUAACAAAGUGGAGGAUGUGAAUACUAUAAAACUAUUCUGUGAUCAUAUUGAGAAAAUUCAAGAUGGUGCCAUAAUUGCUGGUCGACUUCUCUCCCACAGAAUACAAUCCCCGCAGGACAGAGAAGCCCUUCAGGCUCUAGCUGUGGUUGAAGCCGCAGCCAAAUCUUCCCCAGCUUUUGUUGUAGAAAUUGGAAAAUUUAGGUUUUUGAAUGAGAUGAUAAAAUUGAUAUCUCCUAAAUACCUUGGCUCUAGAACCUCAGAUUCAGUGAAGAUGCGGGUUAUCGAACUACUCUUCUCAUGGACUAAACAGUUUCCACAGGAGAAGAAAAUAUGUGAAGCGUAUUCAAUGCUAAAAGGACAAGGAGUUAUACAAGAAGAUCCUGUUCAUGUCAAACAUGCUGUAUUUGCUGCAUCCCUACCUCCACGGGAAGCAGAUCUAAGUGUGGAGGAAUCUGCCAGGUUACAGAAACUACUGCAUAGUGGUAAUCAACAGGAUUUAGAGAAAGCUAAUCAAAUUAUUCAGAGUAUGGUAAGAAAGGAAGAGGAGAAAUUAGAAAAAGCUACUAAACAAGCAAGUCAACUUCAGGAGGUUCAAGCAAGUACCCGGCUUCUCUCCGACAUGUUGGAACAGGUUGAAGUUGGACAGGUGGCGGCGGAGGAUAGAGAAAUCAUGGCGGAGCUUUAUUCGGCUUGUGAGGGAUGGCGACCAAAACUAUUUCAGCUGGCCGCCGAAGCGGAAGAAAAUGAUCCUGUCAUAGGUGAUAUAUUGUAUGCUAGUGAUGAGAUGUCCAGAAUAAUUGAUAAAUAUAAAGAUUUAAUAAUUCUCAAUAAAACGAACAGAUCAGAAUCAAGCAGUAAUCAUAACCUAUUAAAUAUUGCCCCGAAACCUUCAUCGAGACAAGAUCUUUUGGAAGAGUUUCUUCUGGGUCAAAAUGGCGGAGAUAAUCCCACGUCGCACAUACAGCUCACCGCUGAAACUUUUGGCGCCAUUUCAUUAAACCAAUAUGGCGGACAUUUAUUAUCUGAUACAGCUAGCGACAAUAGUUCUAUGUUGGGAGUGGAAGAUUCUCAAUUUGUUGGAGAGAAAGAUGAAAUAUCUCCUCUCAAUAAUCAAAUUAAAAAUCUAGAUCUCCACAAGAUGGCGGAAAAUAAUCUCUUAAUGGAGGAAAAUGGCAAUGGUGGGAUAAAAGAUAUUUUCUCAGAGUUUGGAUUAUCUGAGAACAAUUGUUCCUCUCUUCCCCCAGUCCUCCAAGAUCUACUAUCUGAUGGACCGGAUCAACAGUGUUCUCCUAAUGAAUUUAUCCUCCCUAAUCUUCAAACCAAAGGAAAAAUUAGCGACGAACUGAACCAGCGUCGAAGAGGAUUGGAUGAGCUUGACUUACUCGGAGAAAAUGCUCUUCGUGCGCAGCUCCCGGAGCAUAAAGAAGCUGGGUUCAUUGCUAGAAAGCAGGAGAAGCUGCCCCUGAAAGAGCUUAUGAGACAAAGUAGCUCAAUGUCACAGUUUGAAAGCCAGGAACAGCAAACUCCGCCCCCUUAUCCUACCACGCCUACAAACCAAACCAAACCUAAGUCAAACCAAACUUGUUCUAGUCUUGAAACAAACCAAACCAAUCCAAAGAUUGAAAAACCAGUUCCUCAAGCAUUGUUAACAAACAACUUCGACCCUGCACCUAAAUCAGAGGUUAAAGUAACCGAGGUUAAACUCCAAGAUAUAAAGUUGAGGAUGGAGGAUGUAGUCCCACAUCCUGCACUGCCUCCACUUGACCUGCAGGCAGAGGGUCCGGUCUCCCUGGUCCUCCAUUAUUCAUGUACUGUCCCGGCACCUGGAGUUUCCGUACAUGUUGUACAGUUUACAAACACGGGCAAGCUACCAGUUGAGGAAUUAGAGUUUAAAGCAGUUGUUCCUAAAGGUUGCAAAGUCAGACUUCUACCAAUUUCUAGUAAUCACCUUCCGUCUCCUCUACCAUUCUCCCCUUCUCCAACCUGCAAUCAGUUAAUGCUGGUUUUGAAUCCGGAGAAGAAGAAUAUUUUCCUUGGUUUUGUUCUCAGCUAUUCAAUAGACGAGGAGUCCUUCACCUUUAUAGGGAAGGAUAUCCAGACCUGUAUACAGUAGUAAUCAGUAUUAUUAUUAUCAAUGUUAUCAAUCAAAUAUUUGACCAAGUUUAAUCUGAGGAUUUCAGGUAAUUGAACAUAGUUGCAACUUUAAAAAAACAGAACUUACCACGUUUCUUGUUAUGGUAUCUAUUUUCUCAUUUACUUGAAAUAAAAUAUCUAAUUCCCGCUCUAAUUUUACCAAAAUUCUGGAACUCUUGUAAAUUAUUCAUUUUCAUGUACAAACUGUGAGCUUGUUACUUCAUAAAUCAAUGUUUUAUGUACACCGAUCUUUGUAAUUUAUGUACAUGUAUGUGUAAUCAACGUGCACUGUAAUAUUGUCUCUCUUUGCACAAUUCACGUUAACUGUGAAAUGUCUUGUGGCAUUUUUUGUGAUAUUAUUUUGAAUUAUAAUAAAAUGUUAGACCUUA